rnacentral:rRNA from 1 species
GACGAACGCUGGCGGCGUGCUUAACACAUGCAAGUCGAACGAUGAAGCUGGAGCUUGCUCCGGUGGAUUAGUGGCGAACGGGUGAGUAACACGUGAGUAAUCUGCCCUUGACUCUGGGAUAACUGCGGGAAACUGUAGCUAAUACCGGAUACGACACCUUCGGGCAUCCGAUGGGUGUGGAAAGAAUUUCGGUCAAGGAUGAACUCGCGGCCUAUCAGCUAGUUGGUGAGGUAAUGGCUCACCAAGGCGACGACGGGUAGCCGGCCUGAGAGGGUGACGGGCCACACUGGGACUGAGACACGGCCCAGACUCCUACGGGAGGCAGCAGUGGGGAAUAUUGCACAAUGGGCGAAAGCCUGAUGCAGCAACGCCGCGUGAGGGAUGAAGGCCUUCGGGUUGUAAACCUCUUUUAGUUGGGAAGAAGCGAAAGUGACGGUACCAACAGAAAAAGCACCGGCUAACUACGUGCCAGCCGCCGCCGUAA